rnacentral:rRNA from 1 species
GGGUUGUGAGGUUAAGCGACUAAGCGUACACGGUGGAUGCCUAGGCAGUCAGAGGCGAUGAAGGGCGUGCUAAUCUGCGAAAAGCGUCGGUAAGCUGAUAUGAAGCGUUAUAACCGACGAUACCCGAAUGGGGAAACCCAGUGCAAUACGUUGCACUAUCGUUAGAUGAAUACAUAGUCUAACGAGGCGAACCGGGGGAACUGAAACAUCUAAGUACCCCGAGGAAAAGAAAUCAACCGAGAUUCCCCCAGUAGCGGCGAGCGAACGGGGAGGAGCCCAGAGUCUGAAUCAGUUUGUGUGUUAGUGGAAGCGUCUGGAAAGUCGCACGGUACAGGGUGAUAGUCCCGUACACCAAAAUGCACAGGCUGUGAACUCGAUGAGUAGGGCGGGACACGUGACAUCCUGUCUGAAUAUGGGGGGACCAUCCUCCAAGGCUAAAUACUCCUGACUGACCGAUAGUGAACCAGUACCGUGAGGGAAAGGCGAAAAGAACCCCGGCGAGGGGAGUGAAAUAGAACCUGAAACCGUGUACGUACAAGCAGUGGGAGCACCUUCGUGGUGUGACUGCGUACCUUUUGUAUAAUGGGUCAGCGACUUAUAUUUUGUAGCAAGGUUAACCGAAUAGGGGAGCCGUAGGGAAACCGAGUCUUAACUGGGCGUCUAGUUGCAAGGUAUAGACCCGAAACCCGGUGAUCUAGCCAUGGGCAGGUUGAAGGUUGGGUAACACUAACUGGAGGACCGAACCGACUAAUGUUGAAAAAUUAGCGGAUGACUUGUGGCUGGGGGUGAAAGGCCAAUCAAACCGGGAGAUAGCUGGUUCUCCCCGAAAGCUAUUUAGGUAGCGCCUCGUGAACUCAUCUUCGGGGGUAGAGCACUGUUUCGGCUAGGGGGCCAUCCCGGCUUACCAAACCGAUGCAAACUCCGAAUACCGAAGAAUGUUAUCACGGGAGACACACGGCGGGUGCUAACGUCCGUCGUGAAGAGGGAAACAACCCAGACCGCCAGCUAAGGUCCCAAAGUCAUGGUUAAGUGGGAAACGAUGUGGGAAGGCACAGACAGCCAGGAUGUUGGCUUAGAAGCAGCCAUCAUUUAAAGAAAGCGUAAUAGCUCACUGGUCGAGUCGGCCUGCGCGGAAGAUGUAACGGGGCUAAACCAUGCACCGAAGCUGCGGCAGCGACGUUUAGGCGUUGUUGGGUAGGGGAGCGUUCUGUAAGCCGUUGAAGGUGACCUGUGAGGGUUGCUGGAGGUAUCAGAAGUGCGAAUGCUGACAUAAGUAACGAUAAUGCGGGUGAAAAACCCGCACGCCGGAAGACCAAGGGUUCCUGUCCAACGUUAAUCGGGGCAGGGUGAGUCGACCCCUAAGGCGAGGCUGAAAAGCGUAGUCGAUGGGAAACAGGUUAAUAUUCCUGUACUUGGUGUUACUGCGAAGGGGGGACGGAGAAGGCUAGGCUGGCCGGGCGACGGUUGUCCCGGUUUAAGCGUGUAGGGGGAGUGACCAGGUAAAUCCGGUUGCUUAUCAACCCUGAGGCGUGAUGACGAUGCACCACGGUGCAGAAGCAGUUGAUGCCAUGCUUCCAGGAAAAGCCUCUAAGCAUCAGGUAACAUUAAAUCGUACCCCAAACCGACACAGGUGGUCAGGUAGAGAAUACUCAGGCGCUUGAGAGAACUCGGGUGAAGGAACUAGGCAAAAUGGUGCCGUAACUUCGGGAGAAGGCACGCUGGCGUUAGGUGAAAGGACUAGCUCCUGGAGCUGAAGCCAGUCGCAGAUACCAGCUGGCUGCAACUGUUUAAUAAAAACACAGCACUGUGCAAACACGAAAGUGGACGUAUACAGUGUGACGCCUGCCCGGUGCUGGAAGGUUAAUUGAUGGGGUCAGCCGCAAGGCGAAGCUCUUGAUCGAAGCCCCAGUAAACGGCGGCCGUAACUAUAACGGUCCUAAGGUAGCGAAAUUCCUUGUCGGGUAAGUUCCGACCUGCACGAAUGGCGUAAUGAUGGCCAGGCUGUCUCCACCCGAGACUCAGUGAAAUUGAACUCGCUGUGAAGAUGCAGUGUACCCGCGGCAAGACGGAAAGACCCCGUGAACCUUUACUAUAGCUUGACACUGAACAUUGAGCCUUGAUGUGUAGGAUAGGUGGGAGGCCUUGAAGUGUGGACGCCAGUCUGCAUGGAGCCAACCUUGAAAUACCACCCUUUAAUGUUUGAUGUUCUAACUCGGCCCCAUGAUCUGGGGUGAGGACAGUGUCUGGUGGGUAGUUUGACUGGGGCGGUCUCCUCCCAAAGAGUAACGGAGGAGCACGAAGGUUAGCUAAUCACGGUCGGACAUCGUGAGGUUAGUGCAAAGGCAUAAGCUAGCUUGACUGCGAGAGUGACGGCUCGAGCAGGUACGAAAGUAGGUCUUAGUGAUCCGGUGGUUCUGAAUGGAAGGGCCAUCGCUCAACGGAUAAAAGGUACUCCGGGGAUAACAGGCUGAUACCGCCCAAGAGUUCAUAUCGACGGCGGUGUUUGGCACCUCGAUGUCGGCUCAUCACAUCCUGGGGCUGAAGUAGGUCCCAAGGGUAUGGCUGUUCGCCAUUUAAAGUGGUACGCGAGCUGGGUUUAGAACGUCGUGAGACAGUUCGGUCCCUAUCUGCCGUGGGCGUUGGAAGAUUGAGAGGGGCUGCUCCUAGUACGAGAGGACCGGAGUGGACGAAUCACUGGUGUUCGGGUUGUCAUGCCAAUGGCAUUGCCCGGUAGCUAAAUUCGGAAGAGAUAACCGCUGAAAGCAUCUAAGCGGGAAACUUGCCUCGAGAUGAGUCUUCCCUGGGGCUUAAAGCCCCCUGAAGGAACGUUAAAGACUAUGACGUUGAUAGGCUGGGUGUGUAAGUGCAGCGAUGUAUUGAGCUAACCAGUACUAAUGAUCCGUGAGGCUUAACCUUACAACACCGAAGGUGUUU